rnacentral:tRNA from 1 species
GCCUAGGUGGUGGAAUUGGUAGACACGCAAGCUUCAGGUGCUUGUGCUCUUCGGGGCGUGGAAGUUCGAGUCUUCUCCUAGGCACCA